rfam:Schistosoma mattheei strain Denwood, Zambia genome assembly, scaffold: SMTD_scaffold0002979
AUCAAGCUGAUGAGUUCUAAAUAGGACGAAACUCGCAUCCUGGAU